rnacentral:rRNA from 1 species
AUUGAACGCUGGCGGCAGGCCUAACACGUGCAAGUCGAACGGUAACAGGAAGAAGCUUGCUUCUUUGCUGACGAGUGGCGGACGGGUGAGUAGUGUCUGGGAAACUGCCUGAUGGAGGGGGAUAACUACUGGAAACGGUAGCUAAUACCGCAUAACGUCGCAAGACCAAAGAGGGGGACCUUCGGGCCUCUUGCCAUCGGAUGUGCCCAGAUGGGAUUAGCUAGUAGGUGGGGUAACGGCUCACCUAGGCGACGAUCCCUAGCUGGUCUGAGAGGAUGACCAGCCACACUGGAACUGAGACACGGUCCAGACUCCUACGGGAGGCAGCAGUGGGGAAUAUUGCACAAUGGGCGCAAGCCUGAUGCAGCCAUGCCGCGUGUAUGAAGAAGGCCUUCGGGUUGUAAAGUACUUUCAGCGGGGAGGAAGGGAGUAAAGUUAAUACCUUUGCUCAUUGACGUUACCCGCAGAAGAAGCACCGGCUAACUCCGUG